rnacentral:snRNA from 1 species
UUGUUUGAGAUCUGCGACAU